rnacentral:lncRNA from 1 species
GUUAUGGAAUGAAGACAAUGUUCUAGCACUAGUGGACCCAAACAUACCUGCUAAAUGCUUUGAGGUUCAGCUUUUAAGGUGCAUAAAUGUGGGGCUUCUCUGUACGCAAGAAAGGGCAAAAGAUAGGCCUUCCAUAUCAACUGUUAUUUCAAUGAUCAACAGUGAAGUGGAUCUUCCUCGUCCAAAGAAACCUGCAUUCACCCCGAGGAAAAUAACCCAAGACACAGAUUCCUCUGGACAAAGCCAAAAGACAUGUCUGCCAACNNNNNNNNNNNNNNNNNNNNNNNNNNNNNNNNNNNNNNNNNNNNNNNNNNNNNNNNNNNNNNNNNNNNNNNNNNNNNNNNNNNNNNNNNNNNNNNNNNNNUGCAUUAGCCCCCUCCUUCAAUAUUCGCAACUGCUCCUUAACGUUUCUAUUUGUUCCAAAUUAGAAUGCAAAUCUUGGCAACGCCAGAAAUACCCUCAAAUUUGCAAUAGCCUUAAGUGUUCACUAAUGUUCAUUUCACAUCAUAAAUUCAAUGACAUGGUUAGCUCAAAAAAUUCCACUAAUCCUAUUGAUGGGAGAAUGAUAUAGUUCAUUUUACUCAACAUUGCAGUCCUCGUCAAUUGAUUGUAAGAUUUCGAUCAAUAUAACCAGUUGUGAGCAACUGGAAACUAAAUGCCAACUCAUGGAAAGCAAUUGCGGCCACAUUCCUAAAUGAAUGCAAGAAUCUAAAAUUUCGGCGGCAUGCACUUUCAAGGGCUUAAAUGCUUUUUCUACAGUUGACUUCGUCAAUGGGGUAGAAAUCCUGAUGUAGACACUCAACCACUUAGUUAACUUCAUCAAUGGGGUACACUCUAGCAUUUAGCUAAUGCUCCCGCGGCGGUGCACUAGAUCAAGAUAAUUGACUCGUAAGGCAAGGUGAAGUGACUCUUCAAGGAAAGCAAUCAAUAUUACUAGUUGUAGUCAACUGAAAACUAAGUCCAUUAAAAUUUUCAUGAAUCCACAAGGUAUUGGGAAAGCUAUUGAGGCCACAAUGUUGAAUGAAGACAACAAUCUAAAUUUCCAUGGCUUGCUCUCUUUGACCCGUAAUCCUCCAAGACCUGAAUGCGUUUUGUACAGAUGCCCUCGUCAAUGGGGCAAAAAUCCUGAUGUAGAAACUCAACCACUUAGUUAAUGCUCUUAGAUUGGCUUGUUAGAUCAAUUGGGAGAAACUAAACCUUUUUAAUGGAAUAUAGUGGUUACAUGACUCCUGAAUAUGCAAUGAAAGGGCAACUUUUAAAAAAUCAGAUGUCUUUAAUUUUGGCAUAUUAUUAUUGGAGAUCGUAAGUGGAAGACAGAACACUAGUCUUCAUGAUGAAGAUCAAUGCUUGAGCCUUCUAGGAGUGUAAGCUCUCAUCGAUGUAGAAGUUGGAACUGCAUUCAAUUCUCAUAAACUGGAACUCCAAUAGUAAAUUGACUUGCUUUGAGGUUCGGCUUUCAAGGUGCAUUAAUGUGGGGCUUCUUUGUACGCAAGAAAUGGCAAAAGAUAGGCCUUCCAUAUCAACAGUUAUUUCAAUGAUCAACAGUGAAGUGGAUCUUCCUCGUCCAAAGAAACCUGCAUUCACUGCGAAGAAAAUAACCCAAGACACUGAUUCCUCUGGAAAAAACCCAAAGACAUGUUCUGCCAACGAUGUUGCUCUUACUGUUCUUCAAGGCAGAUGAUGUGAUCUGAAUUUUUGCAAGAUUCUCCCUACAUGUCCUGCCCUUACCUUUUCUAGUUACUAGUUUUAGUUUUACACAAUCUUGCUCGCAAAUGUACAGAAACGCAAAUCGUGAACUAUUUUUUCCACUUCAUAGUUCUUUACUACACAUAUUUGCGUGAUCAAAGGUUGGGGUAGGAGCCUUCUGGUGGGAAUAAUGCUUCUACUUCUCAUAUCGGGAGCCAGUGGGUUAGAUAAAUUCUGGAAAAUUGCAGACAACCCCCCUCCACUGUGAGGAGAAUUGCAAUUAGCCCCCUCCUUCAAAUGUUCGCAACUACUCCUUGACGUUUCUAUUUGUUCCAAUUAGAAUCCAAAUCUUAGCAACACUAGAAAUAGCCUCAAGUUUUCACCGAUGUUUAUUUCACAUCAUAAAUUUAAUGACAUGGCUAGCUCAAAAAAUUUCACUAAUCCUAUUGAUGUGAGAAUGAGAUAGUUCAUUUUACUCGGUAUCCGGUCCUUGUCGAUUGAUUGUAAAAUUUCAUUCGAGAGAGUGACACUAGAAGUGCCAUAAAUUGUGUAUGGUGCUCACUUAAGGUCCAAAAGUUCUUUUCGAAUCACUUAAAUGUCACUUAAAAAAAAAAUCAGUUAAGUGCCAAUUCCGAUAAGAGUCAUCAGAUAUUUGAUGUGGUAAUAUUUUAUUAAUUUCUUGAUCUUAUGUGGCUCGCCGACAUGCCCAGUCAGCAUAUAAUCACUAAAUGAUGUUAUGUAGUAAGUUAAAAAGUAAUCACUUUAGUGCCAAAAAAAAAAGUCACCUCAAAUAAAAAUUUAAUUAUAAAUGCUGCAUAAUUUUUUAGCCGAAAUUUCUUGUCGAAGGCAUUUAAGUAAUUGUUUUUUUUUUUUCUAAUUUUGAUAUUAAAGUAAGCGUCAUACACAACUUAUGACACUUCUAAUAUCCUUCUCCCGAUUUCAAUAAGUAUAACUAGUUGUGAGUGACUAGAAACUAAGGGCCUGCAUGGUAACGCUUCUGUUUUUUUUUUUUUUUGGUUAUUUUUGUUCCUCAAAAUAGGAAAAAAAAAUCUAUUUAAGAAUAUCAAUUAAAUUUUUUAUUCCCUGAAAUAGAAAAGUAGCCAUGGAAUAAAUUUAGAACAGAAAUAAAAAGUAAAAUAAAGUAGUUUCUUAUUUUUGAAAACAAUUUAUAGAAAUAAGUCUUCUUUUUUUUUUUGUUCUUUUCUUUUUCUUCCUCUUCUAACCAAUGGAGACUUGUCAUCUACCACUGCCCCGUCGGUCGUGAGUCGCCACCGUCCAUCAAUCACUAGUCAUCACUAGCGGUCGUCAUCUGCCACUGCCGGUCACCGAUCACUAUUGUUGCUAAUCACCACCUGUGCAGCAAUCAGCUAGAGGAGGAAGAAGAAAUAAAAAAGAAAAAUCUAAAAAAAAUUAUUGGAAAAUUAGAAGAAAUUUUACAUCAUAAAAAAGUUUGUAUGUUGCACAAAAUGCCUUUAUGUUCUUUUUUUAUUUUAUUUUAGGAAUCGAAAUUUUAUGUAAUUACCAAACACUUUUUACUCAAAAACUAUUUUAGGGAAUAAAAAUAAAAAAGAACUGUUUUUGAAAAAAAAAUUGUUAUUAGGAAGUGAUAUGUUAUCAAACAUACCCCGAACCGAAUGUCAACUUAUGGAAAGCAGCUGUGGAAAUGUGCAUGAAUCUACCAAGAAAGUGGCAAUUCAUGAAAAGCAAUUGCAGUUACUAUCCUGAAUGAAUGCAAGAGUCUAAAAUUUCGGUGGCAUGCACUUUCAAAGGCUUGAAUGCUUUUUCUAGAGUUGACUUGGUCAAUAAGGUAGAAAUCCUGAUGUGGAAAUUCUAGCAUUUAGCUAAUAAUCUCACGUCGGCGCACUAAAUCAAGAUACUUAACUCAUAAGUCAAGGUGAAGUGACUCUUCAGGGAAACUAAUCAAUAUGACUAGAAACUAAGUCCAUUGAAAUUUUCAUGAAUCCACAAGGUACGCGGAAAGCUAUUGGGGCCACAAUGCUGAAUGAAGGCAACGAUCUAAAAUUUCCAUGGCUUGCUCUCUCUGAUUGGUAAUCCUCCAAGAUUUGAAAUCUUUUUCUACGGUUACCCCCGUCAGUGGGGCAAAAAUCCUGAUGUAGAAACUCAACCACUUAGUUAAUGCUCUCACAUUGGCUCGCUAGAUCAAUAUUAUUGACUCGUAAGUCAAGGUGAAGUGACCCCUCAAGUAUGUCACUAUGAGAAAGAAUAACAAAUGUCCAUAAGAGAAAGAGGAAUUUGGUCUGAUUGGAGAAAAAUUAACAAUGUUCAUAAUAUCCAACAUGGACUUUCAAAGGCUUAAAUGUUUUUUUCUAGAGUUGACUUCGUCAAUGGGGUGGAAAUCCUGAUGUAGAAACUCCACCACUUAGAUGCUCCUACAUUGGCUCGCUAGAUCAAUAUUCUUGAGUCCAUCGGUCAAGGUGAAGUGACCCCUCGAGUAUGUCACUAUGAGAAAGAAUAACAAAUGUCCAUAAGAGCCAAAGCGGAAAGAGGUCUGAUUAGAGAAAAAUUAACAAUGUUCAUAAUAUCCAACGUGCACUUUCAAAGGCUUAAAUGUUUUUUUCUAGAGUUGACUUCGUCAAUGGUGUAGAAACUCAACCACUUAGUUAAUGUUUUUACAUUGGCUCGCUAGAUCAAUAUUCUUGAUUCAUAAGUCAAAGUGAAGUGACCCUUCAAGUAUGUCACUAUGAAAAAAAAUAACAAUGUCCAUAAGAACCAAAGAGGAAAGAGUUCUGAUUGGAGAAAAAUUAACAAUGUCCAUAAUAUCCACCAUGCGACUCAACAUCAAAGACCGCCGUGUGGAAAAUUUUUGAAAGACCCGUUUACUAGCCAGGAAAAAUCAGGACUUUGAGAGCAAUAGUUGACGAGGAAAUGUUCCCAUUCGAGCAAUAUAAAUUUCUUCACGGAGAUGCUUAAACCAUCUUUUCCAGUCGAAAAUUUACCUUUAUCUUUAACCACAAAGUUUUCUCUCUAUAAUUGUGAUUUCCACCUUCUGUUCUAAACUUCAGGUUGUGUCUUCUGCUGUUCUAAAGCUAGCAAAAUCAGUUGCUGCUGAGAAGAAAGGUUCAAGUAGUCAUGAUUCUUCUAAGAAAAGUAAGAGUAUUCUCUCUCUUUAUUUUGUCUCAUUAUGCUGUGAAAUUUUGCAUUGGGGGAGAUAUCAUUACAGCAUCUGAGUACAUCCAAGACCCUGGAAGUAUCAUAUCAAGUGGAGGUCUCUACAAACUGGGAUUCUUUAGCCCCAAUGGUACCACCAAUCGGUAUGUUGGAAUUUGGCAUAACAAGAUUCCUGCGCUUAACGUCUUUUGGGUUGCAAACAGGGAGAAGCCUGUUCUAGAUUCUUCUGGUGUCAUGACCAUAUCCAAUGAUGGUAAUCUCGUGAUAUUGAAUGGAAAGAAGGAAGUACUUUGGUCAUCAAACGUUUCCACCUCUGGAGCUAAUGCAAAAGCCCAUUUAUUAGAUACUGGAAAUCUUAUCUUGCAAAAACAAAGCUCUAAUAUGAGCACAAAUGAUACAACGGCAUGGGAAAGUUUCCAGACCAUGUGUGAUACAUUCAUCGCGAAAAUGAAGCUUAGCACCAACUUGAGAACAAAUGAGAAGAAGGUACUCACAUCUUGGAAAAGCCCUUCUGACCCAUCGAUUGGAAGUUUUUCAAUUAGUCUUGAACCACUAAAUAUUCCUGAAGUUUUCCUUUGGAACGGCACUACUCUAUAUUGGCGGAGUGGUCCAUGGAAUGGUAAGGUUUUCAUUGGAAUUCCCGAGAUGGAAUCAGUCUAUCUUGAUGGAUUUACCUUAGUGGAUGAUAAAGAAGGAUAUGUCUAUCUGACUUACAAUUUUGCAGAGGUGUCUUAUUUUUCAUACUUUUUUGUGAGGUCAAAUGGGGAGUUGUUGCAGCCAUUCUGGGAUGAAAAAUAUAAGAAGUGGCGGAUCGAUUGGUCAACCCAAGCAUCUGAUUGUGAUGUUUAUGGCAAGUGUGGUCCAUUUGGAUACUGUGAUGCCAAGAAAUCACCAAUUUGCAGCUGCUUGAGAGGCUAUGAGCCAAAAAAAGUUGAAGAAUGGAGCAGAGGGAAUUGGUCCAGCGGAUGCAUCCAGAAGUCAUUGCUGCAAUGCGCUAGGUUGAAAAAUGGUAGUACUAAAGCGGGAAAAAUUGAUGGAUUUGUAAAGCUUGAGAAUGUGAAAGUGCCGAAUUAUGCAAUCUGGUCAUCUCCUUUGGAAGACAAGUGCCAAGAGCAGUGCCUCAGUAAUUGUUCGUGCGCAGCAUAUGCUUAUGAUGCCGGCGUUGGUUGCAUGUACUGGAGUGGAGACCUAAUCGACGUACGGAAGUUCUCCUAUGCAGGAACAACUCUUUAUGUUCGAGUGGCCCAUACAGAACUCGGUAUGUUCAUUCCUAAAUUAAAUUUCUGAUCUAUCUGGUAAUACAACUUACUGCUAGAUUGGUUAGGGAAUUUCAAUCAAUGUGAUACGCCAGGUGGAGUUGCGAUCCCUGAAAGCUAGCUAAUCAGUUCUUUUCUUAUUUUUUAAUAUGUGCUUCAAUCUCAGACAUCAUUGUUUGUCCGUAUUUUGAUCUGCAGAAGGAAAAAGAGAUCUGAGAGCAAUUAUAGCGACUGCAGCAGUUGUGGCAACUGUAAUUUUCAGUAUUGGUACUUUCUUCGCCUGGCAGAAGUCGAAAAAACGAGGUGGUAAAGACGGAGAACAAUUUUCAAAGGCUUCUAGUGAGAACAUGCUCAGAGGGAGCUUGAGCAAAGUUAAUCUCCAGGAGCUUGUGCUAUAUAAAUUGGAAGAGCUGGCUGCAGCAACAAGCAACUUUAGUGAUGCAAACAAGCUCGGGGAGGGUGGUUUUGGGGCAGUAUAUAGGGUAAUACCGUGUCAUGUAGAGGACAGCAGCUCCAUUUCUGCUUCUUCUUUUUAACUUUAGCAGCUCAUUUACGUCCUUUUGUACAGGGGAGAUUGCUAAAUGGAAAAGAAAUAGCAGUCAAAAGACUAUCAGGGGCCUCUGGACAAGGAUUGCGGGAAUUUAUCAAUGAAAUGGAAGUGAUUUCCAAGGUCCAACAUCGAAAUCUCGUUCGACUCCUUGGAUGCUGUGCCGAGCAAGAUGAAAAACUAUUAAUCUAUGAGUUCAUGCCAAACAAGGGUCUAGAUGCAUUUCUUUUUGGUAAUAUUCCAUUUCUUGUAGUAUUCCGUCCAUCUAUCAUGGAAUACCAGUUUAUGGGGAAGUCAAGUUUUUAAUUUUACCUGUUUAAACCGACAUUGGCUGCACCUAUUGCACAUACUUUACAUUUUCAGUAUACAUGGGAGCCUCUUUCUGUGCAUUACACUCUUCUCCGGUCACAAAUUAACACGUAAUUUUAUGAAUUCCACUUCUGUUGUCUAUUUCAGAUCCUCUCAAACGAGAGCAACUGGAUUGGAGAAGACGGUUCAACAUCAUUGAUGGAAUUUGUCGAGGCCUACUAUACCUUCACCGUGACUCCAGACUACGGAUAAUUCAUAGAGAUCUUAAGACGAGUAAUAUCCUGUUGGAUGAAGAGCUCAAUCCAAGAAUUUCAGACUUUGGAACGGCUAGAAUAUUUGGGGGAAAAGAAGAUCAAGCAGAUACACUAAGAGUUAUGGGAACCUAGUAAGUAUUUUUAUAUGAUGAGUCUCGUACCAAUUUUAUCUUUCUACCUAGCAUGAGGAAUAUUAAAGUGUUUCAUGGAAUGCAGUGGUUACAUGGCUCCAGAAUAUGCAAUGGAAGGGCGGUUUUCGGAAAAAUCGGAUGUCUUUAGCUUUGGGGUAGUAUUGCUGGAGAUUGUAAGUGGAAGACAGAACAAUAGCUUCAAUGAGGAAGAUCAGUCCUUGAGCCUGUUAGGAUUGGUAAGCUGUCACAAACAGAGAGAUCACCCUAUUUCCAUCAGCUCAAGUUCCAAAAAUAAUUAGACUUGAAUUCUGUUUUUUGGCAGGCAUGGAAAUAUUGGGAGGAAGACAAUGUACUUGCGCUAGUGGACCCUAAAAUUUCUGUUGGAUGCUCCGAGAUUGAGAUCAUAAGGUGUAUAAAUGUGGGGCUGCUUUGUACACAAGAACUUGCAACUGAUAGGCCUACCAUUUCAACUGUCAUUUCAAUGAUUAGCAAUGAAAUUGUUGGUCUUCCUCGUCCGAACAAACCUGCAUUCACCGAGAGGCAAACAACUACAGACACAGGUUCCUCCAGACAAAGUCAGAAAAAAUACUCUGCCAACAAUGUCACUAUUACCGCUCUUGAAGGCAGAUAAAAUGAGGAUACCAAAACCAAUAAGCUCGAAAGUUCAGCUC